rnacentral:lncRNA from 1 species
GAAGGUCAGCAGAUAAACAAGUGAACAAAGGUCUCUGAUUUUCCUAGGCAGAGGACCCUGCGGCCUUCCGCAGUGUUUGUGUCCCUGGGUACUUAAGAUUAGGGAGUGGUGAUGACUCUUAACGAGCAUGCUGCCUUCAAGCAUCUGUUUAACAAAGCACAUCUUGCACCGCCCUUAAUCCAUUUAACCCUGAGUGGACACAGCACAUGUUUCAGAGAGCACAGGGUUGGGGAUAAGGUCACAGAUCAACAGGAUCCCAAGGCAGAAGAAUUUUUCUUAGUACAGAACAAAAUGAAAAGUCUCCCAUGUCUACUUCUAUCCAUACAGACCCGGCAACCAUGCGAUUUCUCAAUUUUUUCCCCACCCUUCCCGCCUUUCUAUUCCACAAAACCGCCAUUGUCAUCAUGGCCCAUCCCCAAUGAGCCGCUGGGCACACCUCCCAGACGGGGUGGUGGCCGGGCAGAGGGGCUCCUCACUUCCCAGUAGGGGCGGCGGGGCAGAAGCGCCCCUCACCUCCCGGAUGGGGCGGCUGGCCGGGCGGGGGGCUGACCCCCCCACCACUCUCCCGGACGGGGCGGCUGGCCAGGCAGAGGGGCUCCUCACUUCCCAGUAGGGGCGGCCGGGCAGAGGCGCCCCUCACCUCCUGGAUAGGGCGGCUGGCCGGGCGGGGGGCUGUCCCCCCCCACCUCCCUCCCGGACGGGGCGGCUGGCCGGGCAGAGGGGUCCUCACUUCCCAGUAGGGGCGGCCGGGCAGAGGCGCCCCUCACCUCCCGGACGGGGCGGCUGGCCAGGCGGGGGGCUGACCCCCCACCUCCCUCCCGGGCGGGGCGGCUGGCCGGGCAGAGGGGCUCCUCACUUCCCAGUAGGGGCGGCCGGGCAGAGGCGCCCCUCACCUCCCGGACGGGGCGGCUGGCCAGGCGGGGGGCUGACCCCCCACCUCCCUCCCGGACUGGGCGGCUGGCCAGGCCGGGGGCUGACCCCCCCACCUCCCUCCUGGACGGGGCGACUGGCCGGGCAGAGGGGCUCCUCACUUCCCAGUAGGGGCGGCCAGGCAGAGGAGCCCCUCACCUCCCGGACAGGGCAGCUGGCCGGGCGGGGGGCUGACCCCCCCACCUCCCUCCCGGAUGGGGCGGCUGGCCGGGCAGAGGGGUCCUCACUUCCCAGUAGGGGCGGCCGGGCAGAGGAGCCCCUCACCUCCCGGCCGGGGCGGCUGGCCGGGCGGGGGGCUGAGCCCCCCCACCUCCCUCCGGGACGGGGUGGCUGCCGGGCGGAGACGCUCCUCACUUCCCAGACGGGGUGGUUGCCGGACGGAGGGGCUCCUCACUUCUCAGACGGGGCGGUUGCCAGGCAGAGG